rnacentral:rRNA from 1 species
AGUGAACGCUGGCGGUAGGCCUAACACAUGCAAGUCGAACGGCAGCACCGUAAGAGCUUGCUCUUAUGGGUGGCGAGUGGUGGACGGCUGAGGAAUACAUCGGAAUCUACUUUUUCGUGGGGGAUAACGUCGGGAAACUUACGCUAAUACCGCAUACGACCUACGGGUGAAAGCAGGGGAUCUUCGGACCUUGCGCGAUUGCAUGCGCCGAUGUCGGAUUAGCUAGUUGGCGGGGCAAAGGCCCACCAAGGCGACGAUCCGUAGCUGGUCUGAGAGGAUGAUCGGCCGCACGGGAGCUGAGACAGGGUCCAGACUCCUAAGGGAGGCAGCAGUGGGGAAUAUUAGACAAUAGGGGCGAACCUGGUCCAGCGAUACCGCGUGGGUGAAGAAGACCUUGGGGUUGUAAAGCCCUUUUGUGGGGAAAAAAAAGCAGCAGGUUGGUACCAAGCGGUUCUGACGGUACCCGAAGAAGAAGCACCGGCUAACUACGUG